UUAUAGUUUCCUGUCAAAAACUGGGAAAGAAACAGUACUAAGAAGCAGGGAGAAAAUAAGACUUCAUAAGACAUGACCCAGAAGUUGAGCCCUGAAGGCUCCAUUCUUAUCUAUGGGACAGAAAUUCUUUAAUUCUUGGGCUAAGGAGGGCUGAAUGGAAUAAGGCAAUAGAUAUAAACAGUGAAUUCACAAGAGAGGAAACCCAAAUGACCAACAAACAAAUGAAAAAAGCUCAACAGUGAAGAAAUGCAAAUUAAAGCCAAAGUGAGACACCACUUCACACCCAUCAUAUGGGGAGAGAUAAAGUUUGCAAACACCAGAUGUUGCCACGGAUGUGUGACAGAAGUAACUCAUACAUUACAGGUUCCUGAGCAAAUAGGUCUUCUGUUGGAGGAAAUGUUUCUCUUGUCUCUAAAUGCUGUUCAUCUGUUGGGAAGAGACCUCCUGGAUAAAUGAAAG